rnacentral:tRNA from 1 species
CGAAGUAUAGCUUAAAAAAAGCACCUUGUUUACACCAAGAAAAUGUCUAUUUAACCUGGACUUCUUCGAG